GUAUCUGGCUCAGGAUGAACGCUAGCGACAGGCUUAACACAUGCAAGUCGAGGGGCAGCACGGUGUAGCGAUACACUGGUGGCGACCGGCGCACGGGUGAGUAACACGUGUGCAACCAACCCCGUACCGGGAGAUAACCCGCGGAAACGUGGACUAACAUCCCAUGAGACUCUAGAGCCGCAUGGCUCUAGAUUUAAAAUUCCGGUGGUACGGGACGGGCACGCGCGACAUUAGGUAGUUGGCGGGGUAACGG
rnacentral:rRNA from 1 species